AUUGAACGCUGGCGGCAGGCCUAACACAUGCAAGUCGAGCGGACGAAGGGAGCUUGCUCCUGGAUUCAGCGGCGGACGGGUGAGUAAUGCCUAGGAAUCUGCCUGGUCGUGGGGGAUAACGUCCGUAAACGGGCGCUAAUACCGCAUACGUUCUGAGGGAGAAAGGGGGGGAUCUUCGGACCUCACGCUAUCAGAUGAGCCUAGGUCGGAUUAGCUAGUUGGUUGGGUAAAGGCCUACCAAGGCGACGAUCCGUAACUGGUCUGAGAGGAUGAUCAGUCACACUGGAACUGAGACACGGUCCAGACUCCUACGGGAGGCAGCAGUGGGGAAUAUUGGACAAUGGGCGAAAGCCUGAUCCAGCCAUGCCGCGUGUGUGAAGAAGGUCUUCGGAUUGUAAAGCACUUUAAGUUGGGAGGAAGGGCAGUAAGUUAAUACCUUGCUGUUUUGACGUUACCAACAGAAUAAGCACCGGCUAACUUCGUG
rnacentral:rRNA from 1 species